rnacentral:rRNA from 1 species
AUUGAACGCUGGCGGCAGGCUUAACACAUGCAAGUCGAGCGGGGUGAUGGUGCUUGCACUAUCACUUAGCGGCGGACGGGUGAGUAAUGCUUAGGAAUCUGCCUAUUAGUGGGGGACAACAUCUCGAAAGGGAUGCUAAUACCGCAUACGUCCUACGGGAGAAAGCAGGGGAUCACUUGUGACCUUGCGCUAAUAGAUGAGCCUAAGUCGGAUUAGCUAGUUGGUGGGGUAAAGGCCUACCAUGGCGACGAUCUGUAGCGGGUCUGAGAGGAUAAUCCGGCAAAAUGGGACUGAGACACGGCCCAGACUCCUACGGGAGGCAGCAGUGGGGAAUAUUGGACAAUGGGGGGAACCCUGAUCCAGCCAUGCCGCGUGUGUGAAGAAGGCCUUAUGGUUGUAAAGCACUUUAAGCGAGGAGGAGGCUCUUUUGGUUAAUACCCAGAAUGAGUGGACGUUACUCGCAGAAUAAGCACCGGCUAACUCUGUGCCAGCCGCCGCGGUAA